GGCGAACGCUGGCGGCAGGCCUAAUACAUGCAAGUCGAACGGCCCUUCGGGGCAGUGGCGGACGGGUGAGUAACACGUGGGAACGUGCCCUUUGGUACGGAACAACUGAGGGAAACUUCAGCUAAUACCGUAUGUGCCCUUCGGGGGAAAGAUUUAUCGCCAUUGGAGCGGCCCGCGUUGGAUUAGCUAGUUGGUGGGGUAAAGGCCCACCAAGGCUACGAUCCAUAGCUGGUCUGAGAGGAUGAUCAGCCACACUGGGACUGAGACACGGCCCAGACUCCUACGGGAGGCAGCAGUAGGGAAUCUUGCGCAAUGGGCGAAAGCCUGACGCAGCCAUGCCGCGUGAAUGAUGAAGGUCUUAGGAUUGUAAAAUUCUUUCACCGGGGAAGAUAAUGACGGUACCCGGAGAAGAAGCCCCGGCUAACUUCGUGCCAGCCGCCGCAGUAA
rnacentral:rRNA from 1 species